CUGUGUUUUCCUGGCCGGCCAAAGACGAGUGAAUCUGAACCGAUUAUUGGCAGUGGGAACAUUUAUUUUACUUGAAUCAUGAUCUAAUAAGUGAGCUUCACCGCAUUUGCAUUCUUAUUCUCAGAGCUCACUCACUACAAUCAAUUCCACAUGAAAACAUUGCUGAACUUGAAAUAAGAUAGGGAUAGCUCUCAGUCUCAGAUACUCAGACUUGAUGACGCUGGGUAUGCAAUUGGGCUUGAUUUCUGGAUCUUUUUUUGCAACCGACAGAAAUCCGAAAAGAGCCAAGGUUUCUAAGAAUUUCGUCAUACAAUCUCAAGACAAGACAUGACUUGAGUCCGGUACUUAAUUACAUAUCAAAGGACUUAAGGACAUCAAGUUUGUUUUGAGUUUCACCAUAACCUACAAAAGUUCAUUACACACGGUCUCAAGCAUCAAA